CCCUAAAUUCAAUUUGAAAUGUGAAAUCGUUAAUGAAUAGUCUAUUAUCGGAGCAAAUAUUUGUUGCCUUAAGGGAACUUUAAAGAGAAUUUUUCUGUUGCAUGCACAUUGGAAUAACAUUAAAUGCCAUAUUAAGAAUAGAAAUGUCUCUUCUAUGUAGAAUUCAAUAUUAAUGAAGUGGAAAAUUAAAUUACCUAAAGCUCAAAGUUAACAUGAAUCACCUGGUGUAAAUUUGUAACUCCAGGAUGAUCAGAAAGUUGUUAUAAAACUCUUAUCAAUAAUGAAAUUAGACCCAUUUCAUUACUAGAUCAUAUGAUACCUGAUGCAGAUCUACACAAUCAGUGCUCACUUCGUAGUAGAAUUUCACAUCUCUACAUGGGUUUGAUUUUUUUCUGUAUAAAUCCAAGGGUUGUUUGUGGUUACUGGUGUAUAUUUCAUUGUCAGGAUUACACUCUAAUCCACAGUGGCUAACAAUAUUUAAAUUAUAGUAUGUGUUUUAUUUGCUGUUUUAGAAUUACAUUAUAUCUAUUAAAAUCUGGUUUUUCCCUCAUUGCUGUCCAUGAAUAUUUUCGACUUCUUCUCAAAUGAUGGUGGACCAAGUUUGACCAAAAUUGGCAUGUAGCAUUAUUGGAAGAAAGGGAAUGAAAUUUGUGGCCCCUGUUUAUCCUGGGGGCUGAGGGUCAGGACCUAAAGUUUUAAAAAUGAUGAUGCAAUCUUUUGACAAUUUCCUAUAUACUAAAGGAUUUAUCAGGGAUGCCUCGAUCUACCUUGAGUCAGGGUUUCUGAGGCUUAAGGGUGGUCUUGAUGGCUCAUAUUAUGAAAAUGCAUUAUAUAAAAAAAAAGAAAGAACUUCUCAACUCUUCCAUGAUUGUCUAUUGAUUAAGGUGUUCACUUUGCAACUGAGAGGUCCGGGGUUAGAUUCUGGAUUGAGGGAGAUCGAGGUCUGGGGUUAGAUUCUGAAUUGAGGGAGAGGUCUGGGGUUAGAUUCUGGUCUGGGGUUAGAUUUUGGAUUGAGGGAGAGGUCUGGGGUUAAAUUCUGGUCUGGGGUUAAAUUCUGGUCUGGGGUGAGAUUCUGGAUUGAGGGAGACGUCCGGGGUUAGAUUCUGGAUUGAGGGAGACGUCCGGGGUUAGAUUCUGGAUUGAGGGAGAGGUCCAAGAUUAGAUUCUGGAUUGAGGGAGACGUCCAAGGUUAGAUUCUGGAUUGAGGGAGAUCGAGGUCUGGGGUUAGAUUCUGGAUUGAGGGAGACGUCCGGGGUUAGAUUCUGGCCUGAGGUUAGAUUCUGGAUUGAGGGAGACGUCCGGGGUUAGAUUCUGGAUUGAGGGAGAGGUCUUGGGUUAGAUUCUGGAUUGAGGGAGAGGUCCGGGGUUAGAUUCUGGAUUGAGGGAGAGGUCUGGGGUGAGAUUCUGGAUUGAGGGAGACGUCCAGGGUUAGAUUCUGGUCUGGGGUGAGAUUCUGGAUUGAGGGAGACGUCCGGGGUUAGAUUCUGGAUUGAGGGAGACGUCCGGGGUUAGAUUCUGGUCUGGGGUGAGAUUCUGGAUUGAGGGAGACGUCCGGGGUUAGAUUCUGGAUUGAGGGAGAGGUCGGGGGUUAGAUUCUGGAUUGAGGGAGAGGUCCGGGAUUCAAUUCUGGAUUGAGGUGCAGCUUCAAACCUAAGACAUUUAACAUAGGUAGCGACUGUUUCUUCACCAAAAGUCCUAUAUCAGGCAUGAAAAAUAAGCAAGUCUUUCAAUAGAACCUUAUAAUCAGUACCCCCCAUCUCAUGGUAGGAGUUGGCACAUUGAGAAACAUCUUCAUUCUUCAUAUUGCUGUUACCAAACAGUUUCAUUGCUGUUAUUCAUCUGUAAUUAUAUAAAUAUGUAUGACCUUAACUAUGAACCUUGUAUGGAGGCUUAAAAUACAGGCAAUCCUGAGCAACAUGCAUAGGUCCAUGGCACUUUAUGUGCAUCUAUACAUGUGAGAAAAAAAUUCCCGAAUGGGAAUUAAAAUGAUGUACAAAUAAACAAAUAAAUAGAUUUUAAUUCCUGGAGAUCAAAUAGCCAAAACUGAGUGCCUGGUAAUGAUAAAAAUAGAAGCAGGUCUGGAGUUCUGCUGCAAGGGAUCAUAUUAUGAAACUAUAUUAUUUCUUUAAGGAAUUUCAUCUUAACUCCUUGACAUCAAACAUCUAAACUGAGUAUAUGGUAAUAAU